rnacentral:lncRNA from 8 species
UCUACGUGAAUAAAUGAGGAGGCAAAACACACCUCAAUUCAAACUGUUAGAAAAUAAAACUUGUCAGAAAGUAAUUUGAAAUUGACAAGUUGAGACAGCCUAUAGCUAAUUAGCAGGCAGCGUGUCUUGGUUUGAGGGCAUGGACAGCAGGUAGCCUAGUGGUUAGAACAUUGGGUCAGUAACCAAAAGGUUGCUGGAUCGAAUCACAGAGCUGACAAGGUAAAAAUCUGUCGUUCUGCCCCUGAACAAGGCAGUUAACCCACUGUUCCUCGGUAGGCCGUCAUUGUAAAUAAGAAUUCGUUCUUAACUGACUUGCCUGGUUAAAUAGAAAUAAACUGUGAAAAGGUUCAUGUCUAACAUGUUGUGUUUUUUUGUGCAUAGAGACUGUGUGUUAAAUAUCUAGUGUGUGUACGUGUGUGUGUACGUGUGUUUGCACCAACCUGGAUGAGGUUAGUGUGAAGUUGAGUUACAUUUUCUAAUGUGUGGGAGUUGACCCUCUCUAUCUCCUUCUCUCUCCUGUGCCCGCCAUCCCUUGUUCCAGGGCUAUUUGACAUGAUGUUGGAGAUGAGAGAGCAGUAUGGAGAGAUACUACUGAAGAAGUGGAACCUAACGUUCAGGUGUUGGAUCAGGAUCACUUUAGUCCCAUCCCUAUGGCCACAGAGGAGGAACAAAGAUGGUUCACUUCCCAGUUUCCAUUCCAAGACCCUGAACUGGACAAGCUUCCAUUCCCUAAAAGAUUCCGUUCUCUGAGUUUUGUUCCUCAAGUCUCAGCUCAAAGAGUUCAUCUACACCUGCCUCAAGUACUAUGAAGACCUGCACCUCAGGUACACACACACACACACACACACACACACACACACACACACACACACACACACACACACACACACACACACACACACACACACACACACACACACAUACAUACAUACAUACAUACAAUUGGUGUCACUUGCACACUGAAAUACAGAGAUGCAUACAAAGCUCUCCC